AGUCGUAAAAUCUAUUAAAAUCUCACUUGGAGACACCACUCGGCGAUAACGAAUUGUCAGAUUGCGAAAAAAUAAACAUGCUUGACAAAAGCUCACAGACUGCUGGGAUCCUGACCUACUUGAUGAUUUCAAACAGUUUAAGCCCACCAUUGAGCCGCUCGGCGCGUUCGGUCAGACGCGUUUAGUUAUUCCGUUGAUAUACGCAUAAUAAAGACAAUAAACGAAAUAAAAUCGCCGAUAAAAUAUAUAAAAACGAGUAUAAAACUAAUAAGCGUAGGUCAUAAUAACGCCGCAGUGUCAUGCAAGUUUAAUAAACGUUCACUACUGUUCAAUGUUUACCAGAACAUUGAAGCGUUUUUUUUAGUGCUGAAGAAAACGUGCGAUGCUUAGCACAAAAUAAAAUAACCUGCAUGCUGUAAUAAUGUUACAUAACAGUCGCAUUAAUUAUUAUUAUUUUGACGAUUGUAAAGAUAUCGCCGGAUAUAACUUACACGGACGGCAAUUAUAAGUUUACGAGUUUUGUUAGAUAAAAAUAUGCAUGGGUAGCUAAUUCUGUGCAAUUACAACCGGUGGCUGUUCCGGGCUAUUUGCACGUCGUGCAAACAAACAAUAUUUACACCCAAAAUUUGCUCGUGAGUGCAAGUCGAAAUUAAAAUUGAGAAAUGAGCACUGCCAAAGCACCGCUUGCUAGCUCACUCGCGCUGUGACGGCCAGGACCGGUUUUUCAUAAUUCCCUGCUCCGACCGUCCCCACCCUCGAGCUUUCUGCACUUAACGUAGGUGGAAAUGGUUAAACCGGAUGGUGGGGAAGCUGGUGGAGUGGGGCGAGCGGCAAACGCGCCGAUAAAAAACGUGCGCCAGAAGGGCGGGAGGGACGCACCGCCUAUAACCGCGUGCAGGCGCGGAACCGGGGGGCGGAGUCGUAAUCAUAAAAUUUACGACGUGCUAUUUAAGUGCUAUCUGGCGGACGAGCAACGAAGCGUGCCGCGGCGUGGCCAUUACGGCGACGCCAUUGGACGAUUCUCGCUUCGGUCGACGCACCGACACAGCCGCAACACUAAAUCUAUAUCCACCGACAUGCCGCUGCCACCAGACUGCUGUUGUUCAAACGGGACGGAAUAACUGCCCGAUUGUGAGGCAUGUCGUGUAUUGUUGACUAUUUUAGAAUCGCCGUCUGCACAACUUCACCAACACCGCUCGAGGCACUCGGACAUGACUAGAUGGAUCGAAUGCAUCUUACAACAUUCACUUCCAACAAUUUCACAACUAAACAAUCUGUUAUGAUCUGAUAUAUGAAAUAUAAGAUUAUAAUCA